GACUGGAUAGGAAGAUAAAAGGCAUCUUUUAUCUUUUAAAAGACCUAGUAAUAGGUAUGCUUUAGGAGGGGCUUGCGCCAUAUUAGUUAGUUGGUAGGGUAAUGGCCUACCAAGACGAUGAUGUGUAGCUGGACUGAGAGGUUGAACAGCCACAUUGGGACUGAGACACGGCCCAAACUCCUACGGGAGGCAGCAGUAGGGAAUUUUCGGCAAUGGAGGAAACUCUGACCGAGCAACGCCGCGUGAAUGACGAAGUACUUCGGUAUGUAAAGUUCUUUUAUCAAGGAAGAAAAGCAAAUGGCGAACCAUUUGUUUGCCGGUACUUGAUGAAUAAGCCCCGGCUAAUUAUGUGCCAGCAGCCGCGGUAAGACAUAAGGGGCAAGUGUUAUCCGGAAUUAUUGGGCGUAAAGGGUGCGUAGGCGGUCUAGUAAGUCAGUGGUGUAAUGGCAACGCUUAACGUUGUCCGGCUAUUGAAACUGCUAAACUUGAGUUAGAUAGAGGCGAGUGGAAUUCCAUGUGUAGCGGUAAAAUGCGUAAAUAUAUGGAGGAACACCAGAGGCGUAGGCGGCUCGCUGGGUCUUAACUGACGCUGAGGCACGAAAGCGUGGGGAGCAAACAGGAUUAGAUACCCUGGUAGUCCACGCCGUAAACGAUGAGUACUAAGUGUCGGGUUAAACCGGUACUGAAGUUAACACAUUAAGUACUCCGCCUGAGUAGUACGUACGCAAGUAUGAAACCUUAAAGGAAUUGACGGGACUCCGCACAAGCGGUGGAUCAUGUUGUUUAAUUCGAAGAUACCCGAAAAACCUUACCAGGUCUUGACAUGUUUUUGCAAAAUGAUAGUAAUAUCGUGGAGGUUACCAGAAACACAGGUGGUGCAUGGUUGUCGUCAGCUCGUGUCGUGAGAUGUUAGGUUAAGUCCUAAAACGAGCGAAACCCUUAUCGUUAGUUGCCAGCACGUUAUGGUGGGGACUUUAACGAGACUGCCAAUGAUAAAUUGGAGGAAGGUGAGGAUCACGUCAAAUCAGCAUGCCCCUUAUGACCUGGGCUACAAACGUGAUACAAUGGCUGUUACAAAGGGUAGCUGAAACGCAAGUUCUUGGCCAAUCCCCAAAAACAGUCCCAGUCCGGAUUGAAGUCUGCAACUCGACUUCAUGAAGUUGGAAUCGCUAGUAAUCGCGAAUCAGCAUGUCGCGGUGAAUACGUUCUCGGGGUUUGUACACACCGCCCGUCAAACCACGAAAGUU
rnacentral:rRNA from 1 species